AAUCAUUUCAGGAUUUAUCACUAGCUGCCGUGACGCCACAUGCAUCUCCUCUUUAAUACUCGCACGCACCUUGUUUCGACAAUUCGUUCGGAUUUCUGAUGUGAUUUUCUUCCUCACCAGAGGCCAUCUUUGCUCGGGACUGAGAGUGAGUUACUCCGGUCCCGGAUUUGAAAUGUUCACAGGAAGCGGAGAGAUUGCCCGAUGCUGGCUCACAUCCAGUUGGACCUCACUCCCUAGUGAGCUGCAGUCAGGCUAGAUAUCCUGGGUCUCAGGAAACCUGGCAGAAGGGAAGCUUGAGGAGCGAUUUAGAAUGGGCAAUUUCGCAAGGCCAAUCCACCUAGCCUGCACAUCUUUGAACUGUGGGAGGAAACCGGAGCACCCGGACGAAAUCCACGUGGACGCAGGGAGAAUGUGCAAACUCCACACAGACAGACAGUCACCCAGAGCUGGAAUCGAACCCGGGUCCCUGGUGCUGUGACGCACUAGUAU